rnacentral:tRNA from 1 species
GCCAGGGUAGCUCAGUGGUAGAGCAGAGGCCUGAAAAGCCUUGUGUCGGCAGUUCAAUUCUGCCUCCUGGCACCA